AAAAUGGUAAUCCUAAUAGUUAGGCUACAUCCCAAUAUUAUAUGAAAUUUAUUGCCAUUUUAAAACAAAAGCAUACAUUAUAGACAUCCAACUAAGAGCAUAGCCAUCCAUUGCCCAAGGCAAUGGUGGUCAUCACAUUUUUAAUUAAUUUCUCUCUCUUCCACUUCAUUCAUGCCCAACUCCCAUACCCACUUAUGCCCAUGCCCUCCCAUUAGUUACCCUCUAAUUUUAUGGUUAUUGAUUUUCUCUUUCUUCCCUCCUCCAAUUUCCCACGUGAAGGAAUGUAAAUUGAAUAAAAUAAAAAAAAACUAUCAACCAAUAGCUCUUGGACAAGUUUCACAUACACAUCCAUUGCCCACUCUUCACAAAUGGGCAUGGCCAUAACCUGGUCAUGCACCAUUUCCCUCAAAAAUCACUCCCUUUUAUUAUUUUAAUAUUUUUUGGAAAUUCUCUCUCUUCAUGACCACCCAAAGAGGGCAACGGAUGGAUGUACUCUAAAUUUGAGGGUUUCCUCUGAUUAAUUGUGCGGCUGCUGCUUGUUUUCUUUUUAGGAAUGUUGAGUUAGUGGGUUUUCAACCCACUUUCAUUUAAUUGUGGAAGUGCAGCUCGUAAUUAUUUAUGGCUAGACUCUAGUCUAGGCAUCAUCCCCUACACCCCUCUCUAAACACAUCGUUUAACACCCCUUCCCCCAUCUACCUACUUUCAUAGUUUCUGCAGUACUAUACCCUCACAAAAUGCAGCAUACUAUUACUCCCUAAAAUCCUAAAAAAAUUUCAGUAAUUUCCUCUACCCCACAAAUAUAUAUACCCAAAAAAAAAAAAAAAAAAAAAACAUCUUGUUCUCUCUUUAUUUUCCCUCUCCAUUAUCUCUCUCAUCUAAGCUUUAAAACUUCAACCAUGGCUGACAUUAGAGACGAAGUCAAACAACCGAAGCAAAUUUCACCGAAAAAAGUAGCGAAAAUCAAAAGAGAAACAAAUUGAUAGUUUAAUAACUGAAAAUGUAUAUAUUUUGGAGAAAUCUAUUUCAGAGAACAGAAACAACGAUUCUUCAAAAAUGUAGACCAAAUCAGGAAGCUGAGGAUGCAAUACACAACUCAACUAAUGCUUUUGAAGAAAACACUGAAUGUAGGAUCAACAAAAGAUUAUCAAGAAAAAUUACAAAAGAGUAGUAUUACAUGUUCAUUUAUAAAUUUAUAUAUGUUCAUUUAUACAAAGAUAUAUGUUCUUAUAUGUGUUCAAUAGAACUUAUAGAUUUUACUCGCUUAA